rnacentral:rRNA from 1 species
CCUACGGGAGGCAGCAGUAGGGAAUAUUGCUCAAUGGGGGAAACCCUGAAGCAGCAACGCCGCGUGGAGGAUGAAGGUUUUCGGAUUGUAAAAUCCUUUUGUUAGAGAAGAUAAUGACGGUAUCUAACGAAUAAGCACCGGCUAACUACGUGCCAGCAGCCGCGGUAAUACGGAGGGUGCAAGCGUUACCCGGAAUCACUGGGCGUAAGGAGCGCGUAGGCGGGAUAGCAAGUCAGAGGUGAAAUCCUAUGGCUUAACCAUAGAACUGCAUUUGAAACUGUUAUUCUAGAGUAUGGGAGAGGUAGGUGGAAUUCUUGGUGUAGGGGUGAAAUCCGUAGAGAUCAAGAGGAAUACUCAUUGCGAAGGCGACCUGCUAGAACAUAACUGACGCUGAUGCGCGAAAGCGUGGGGAGCAAACAGGAUUAGAUACCCCUGUAGUC